rnacentral:rRNA from 1 species
CCUACGGGAGGCAGCAGUAGGGAAUAGUGCUCAAUGGGGGAAACCCUGAAGCAGCAACGCCGCGUGGAGGAUGAAGGUUUUCGGAGUGUAAACUCCUUUUGUUAGAGAAGAAAAUGACGGUAGCUAACGAAUAAGCAACGGCUAACUCCGUGCCAGCAGCCGCGGUAAUACGGAGGGUUCAAGCGUUCCUCGGAAUCACGGGGCGUAAAGAGCGCGUAGGCGGGAUAGCCAGUCAGAUGUGAAAUCCUAUGGCUUAACCAUAGAACUGCAUUUGAAACUGUUAUUCUAGAGUAUGGGAGAGGUAGGUGGACUUCUUUGUGUAGUGGUCAAAUCCGUAGAGCUCACGCGGACUACUCAUUGCGAAGGCGACCUGCUCGAACAUAACUGCCGCUGCUGCGCGCACGCGU